AUUAUUAAAGAGCUUAACAUUGUUAGUAAAUAAAAAUUAUGAAAGCAAAAAAUUAUGGCGGUAUUUUAAGCUUUUCAGAGGAAUUUGCUCUUUAAUGGAUAAAACACCUAAAUCUUACUUAAAUUUGUUAAUCCAAUUUGUAUACCACUAUAAAAACAAUUAAUAACUUUAAUUGUUAAAAUUUACUAAAUUAAAUUAUAUUAAGUCAAGGUGCAGUAAAAAUUUAAGAAUGAAGUGAAUUACAUUACUUUUUAGAGAGAGAGAAAAAUUAAAUUUAUAUUUAGGAUUUGAAAGUAAAAUUGAAAUAGAAUGUCAAUUUGAAUUAAGCUCUAAAAUAUGUAC
rnacentral:rRNA from 1 species